rnacentral:rRNA from 1 species
GACGAACGCUGGCGGCGUGCCUAAUACAUGCAAGUUGAGCGCUGAAGGUUGGUACUUGUACCAACUGGAUGAGCAGCGAACGGGUGAGUAACGCGUGGGGAAUCUGCCUUUGAGCGGGGGACAACAUUUGGAAACGAAUGCUAAUACCGCAUAAAAACUUUAAACACAAGUUUUAAGUUUGAAAGAUGCAAUUGCAUCACUCAAAGAUGAUCCCGCGUUGUAUUAGCUAGUUGGUGAGGUAAAGGCUCACCAAGGCGAUGAUACAUAGCCGACCUGAGAGGGUGAUCGGCCACAUUGGGACUGAGACACGGCCCAAACUCCUACGGGAGGCAGCAGUAGGGAAUCUUCGGCAAUGGACGAAAGUCUGACCGGACAACGCCGCGUGAGUGAAGGAGGUUUUCGGAUCGUAAAACUCUGUUGGUAGAGAAGAACGUUGGUGAGAGUGGAAAGCUCAUCAAGUGACGGUAACUACCCAGAAAGGGACGGCUAACUACGUG